ACAACUGUGAAAAUGUCAUGGUUGUCAAGGCACUUACUUCUGAACACCUUCGACUCAGGCUCCUCCACAUCAACCUCAUACAGCAAGUUCUGCGUAUAUUGAACUCACAGAAGUGUGGCCUCUACCUCUUUCUGUAUGAAAGAGAAUAUCAUGGACCUUCAGAGCACACAAACCUGGGUCUGCCAUCUUGCUCUGCCACCAAUUCUUAUGUCACCAAAUGUUACCACAAGCCUACCA